UACGGAGGGUGCGAGCGUUGUCCGGAAUCACUGGGCGUAAAGGGCGCGUAGGCGGCGCGGGAAGUCCAUGGUGAAAGCCCGAGGCUCAACUUCGGGUCGGCCAUGGAUACUCCUGGGCUUGAGCACUGUAGAGGCAGGUGGAAUUCCGGGUGUAGCGGUGGAAUGCGUAGAGAUCCGGAAGAACACCAGUGGCGAAGGCGGCCCGCUGGGCAGUGGCUGACGCUGAGGCGCGACAGCGUGGGGAGCAAACAGG
rnacentral:rRNA from 1 species